ensembl:lncRNA
UUAAUCUCCUGAUACUCUCUAGUUUUGUAAUGCAACUGUGCGUACGCUUGUUUUAUUUUGGCAGGGUUACGCAGGGCCAAUGGGUCGAACAGGACGCACUGGAUACAGGGGACCUAUAGGGCCUCCAGGGAUGCCAGCCAUAGUCGUAUGGAGAACAUCUGAAGAGGAGUGGUUCGCCUUCAAAAAAAAGAAGUUUUAUAAAAAGCUUGUAUCGUCUUGGCCGAGACAGAAGGGCCCCCCAGGACCGGUUGGACCCCUUGGAGAUCCAGGGCCCCUGGGACCACCUGGGAUUCCUGGGAAGCAGGGAAGAAAAGGAGACACUGGAAAAAUUGGGAGGAUAGGGCCUGUAGGGAUGCCUGGUCCUCCAGGGAGACCUGGGCAGGAGGGGACACCUGGAAAAGAUGCACCUGACGGCCAACCUGGCCCACCUGGGGA